GCUGAAGCCAGGAGCCACCCCGUCCCAGAACUCAUUUAAGGAUUGACAGUGGAGAUGAGAGCAUCUCUUGCUGGAGAUCCCUGCCUACUUGAAGCUUUCAGAAGAAACGUGCCCCUGCUUGAACUCCUCCAUUUGCGUGGGCACUUGCUGGAGUUACCUAACUGGCAGUUUGCUGGGAUGCACGCUGCAUCUUGCUGUGCCUCGGGUUAAAGCCAUCCGUGCUGGAAAAUGGAGCCACAAGAAAUCAAUCCCAGCCCCAGGAAGCUCCCAAGGUUUCCCCCUCUCCUUGCAAGCCCAUGGCUGAAAAACCAGGUUAAAAUGAAGCACUGUGGAGCAAGCAAGGCCCUUUGCUGAAAGCCAGAGAUGGUGGCAAGGAGCAGAACAAAGCAGGCUCAGGGCAGGCGUGACAGCACAUCUCAGCUGGAGUGGAGGCAGCAAAUUGGUCACAGCAGGUUCCUGCUGCAGCAAGGCAGAGGUGCCCAGGAAGCUGUCAUCUCUGCAUGGCCUUAAAGCCUACUCCUAAAGCUGCAUGACUGCCAGGAGCAAUCGCUGCAUCUGCUUGGCAAGGUUAAGUUUUCUAAGCAGAGGAUGCAGGGAUUUGAGGAGAGCUGCUCCAUCGGCCAGCCCGUCCUGCUACUGCACUGCCAGCGUCUCAGAGCUGCUCCCAGCACAGCAAAACCCAAACCUCACAUCUGCCUCCCUCAUAGGUGGACGAUUGCCAAUGGGGAUUGCCUCCCUGACGGCCUCUGGGACAUCUGCAUAUCUUCGUGGACACCUCCAGAUCAUGGAGCUGAGUUCCCUCCCUCCUCCCUCUUUUGACUUUAUUACCUCUUAAACCCCUCAAUAUCCCAGGAUUUGGCCACGAAGGCUGGAAGCUCUCAGAGCCAUCUGAUCUGCAUUGCUAAGCACUGUCACCUCCUCCCCUUGCACCACCUGGCUUAACCUCUGCCCUCUCACAUUUGCAGAUAUGUGCACAGAGCUUAAUCUCACAAGGAGCUGGGAGACUCUUUUUUUUUUUUUCCCCUGCAGAGGAAACAGGAUUUUAUUGCUUUCCACUCUCUGUGCCAGGAUGGACCAGCUAUGGCUGUUUUGGAGCUGGGGUGCUGCAAAAUGCAGUGGGACUAAGGAUGUAGCAAGACAAGCACUUCUGAUGAAGAAAAACCCAACCUGAGCUGCAGAGCACCUCCAACCUCAAGGAUUGCAGAGGAAGCAUAGGAGGCAAAGCAUCUACUGCUUGCUGUGCUAACACAACCAAAGUUACAUCCAUUUCUGUAGCUCUUCCCUUGCUAUCAGCUCUUGCAAAGUGCUUCCUAAAGCACGAAUUGCAUGAGAUUAAUGGGGUGAUUACACAGGGGGAAUGCAGCAUCCCGAGGGCUGGGUGCAAGACAUGGAUGAGAGCAGAUGCACAGCAUCUCAGUCACCGCUGCCCUGCUGAAAAGAGGGACAGAUCCUGCGCUGCGAGUGAGAAUUUUGUCAUAAUUUAUCAUAAUGGCAGCAAAAUAAUGGCCCAUGGGGAUAAGCAGAGAGUUGUGUGCUGACUUGCAGUGGAUUUACCCCAGGGAAGACUUCUUGACUCUCAGAGCAAUUACUCUGGCAGGACUUGGCCCAGAACCAGGCGAUGCCAAGAAGAGUGGGGCUGCAGGCACACACAUGAACGCGUCCGGAGGGGAUAACCUGAGGCUAGAAGAAAAUAAAUGAAGUCAUCCCAAAUGAUGGCUCAGCGAGAAUGUUCCUCCACCAGAAAGAGAAGCUGGGUCGUGAAGAAGGAAACGGGAUCACAGAGAAGAUGGGGAAAGUUGGGAGGGAAUGGAAACACGGAGAGAAGAUGGGUGAUGCUGUCACUGGCCACUGGCACAUGUGGUUUGGAGUCUGGUGGAUUCUUGGCUCGCUCCCCUUGGAGGAAGGCUGGCUGCUUUCCAAAUGGCUUUUCAAGCUCCCAUGGGAAUUUCCAUCGCCCUCAGGACCGUGUGGAACCACAAGGUAUAAGUCCCAUUGCUGAAUCUCCAGCAGCUUGGAUGUUGUAGAGAAAUGACAAGCACCAAAGAGUAAUCUAAUUUGUUGCAGUUAUUCAGCGCUUUCUCAGCACUUGGCUCAGGAAGUGGAAAUUCAUUCUGGGAAGAGCGCAGGAGUCUGCAGGCGGCUCCUGUUGUCCCCACAGAGCCACCAGACACUGGGGUUGGCCCUACAGCAGGGCAGGGAACCUUGCACCUCACAGAAAUAGGAACCCAGAGCAGAGCCCUCGCAUUCCCUGCUGCAAAUGGGAUCAUGCAGCAGCGCUCCUGCAACGUGGAUGGGAAGAGGGAAGACCAAUUUGAUGGGUUUUUUGUUGUGUUUUUUUUUUCAAAAUGCUCUGGAAGGAGCUGAGGCACUGCAGACACCAGGAAGAAUGAUGUGUCUCAUCGUUUGCUUCUUCAUUUGCCUCUUCAUCUCUGCCAAAGAGUUCUGGGGGUUUUGGCUAAAGGAGAAGACUUGUCUCUGUCCCUGUCUCAUUGGAAGUGGCAACAAAUGCACAGCUUGGUGUUGCCAUGCAGAGAAUGCCACCAGAAGCCUCACUUCAUCAGUGCAAGUUGGCAUCUCUUGCCAGAUAAUACCAGGGAAGGAGAGAUGAAUGCCCCCACUUGGCCUUUCUAACCCAGAUACAAUCUAUGACACAAGGUGAUGGCCAGGAACCAUCCCCCUGUUGUGUGGGGAGAGCCUGUAUUGCUGCCUGCUGCCCCAAGCCAGGGGGCCACCUGUGAUCCACAACCUCAUCUUGCUGCUGGGGAAAGCCAUCAAGAUCUUGUGAAGGCCAGCAGCAAUGUCCAAAGACGUCAGACAAAUAAGCAAUGUUCAGACAAAUCUGGGGUUUCCUUAGGAUCCAUCUGAGCAACAAGCAAAUGAUGGAGGCUGCCAGGGGUAAGAUGGGCCGUCUGCAUCCCUGUAGCAUUCACAGGGCUCCCCUGGGCUGAAGGUGGAACUGCCUGCUUGACCACAAACUUGGUCUGCCCGCAGUGGUGUUGGAAGGGGACAGGACAUCAAAACCUAUGGGGCUGCAAUGGCUGCAUUUUCUUUCCUCCUUCCCUCCCUCCCUCCCCCAUACCCAAGGAGCUGCCAUGUUGCAGGCUGCUGAGUCCUUUGGCUCUGCUCCAGGAAAAUCAUUAAGUAUGAGCUUUAGGGAUUGCAGACUGCUCGCUUGCUUCCCCCAAACCAAGCCCGCCAGCUCGGUGUCAGCAGGACAAAGCCCUGGCAGGGGCAAAGCACAAGGGAGCUUUGUGUGGAUCUGCCCUGCCUUGCUCCGCUUCACUUUCUCGCAUUGAGAAAUACAAAUAGCUCAACUUUGUGUAUCAGUCUGAGGGCUUUCCAGGUGAGCUUAGCUGCCUGGGCUACCAUACAACGCAGGGCCAUCCCCAAAGCAUGGCCAGAGCCACCUGGAUUGGUGGCUGUGUUGGAUGAAGGCUGUCACCCAAACCUGCCAGCCUGUUUCUGCAACUCAGUGCAGCUCUGAACUGUGGUCUGUGCUGUCCGAAGCGCCCGUCUGCUGUUCACAACCCAGCAGAAGCAAUUAGGAAUUGUAAAUUGCUGGUUUAUCUUGUGAAGGAUCCUUCCUGGGAUGCUCACCCUCCUCUCUUAUCGCUGACUAACACCACGUAUUAAUUAAAGGCAUCCGAUGGCAAUAAUUAGGCCAAUCUCUUGAAUUCUGACACAGAGAAAGUGGAGAGGAGAAAAGAGGGUAGGAAUACUCCCCAAGGAUGUCCAAAAACCAUGGAUAUGUGGUACUGAGGGAUGUGGU